ensembl:lncRNA
AUGUUGGUUUGGAAGCCUCCUCGGCCCUGGAGGGCUAUUUGGGCAAUAUCCAGUGUUCCUUAUAGCUUAGGUUCCUCUCACAAGCAGGUGGAGCACAGCUCACUACGUCCUGGGAGCCUGUGGCCAGAAGAGAGAGGUGCUGCGUGGUGUGACAGCAUGACCCGCUGGCAGCAACAGCAAGGCCUUUCUUGUCUGUGGUAUUCAGAUCACAUUUUCUAAGAAACUGCCAUGGGAAGAAAACUGUCCUCUUCCCUCACUUACUCUUCAAAACCUGGAAAAAGUAUUCUAUUGUUUAUGAAAGACAGCUUCCAUAUCUAGGGAGAUUUACAGGAUGUAGACAGUAUCUCACGUAUGACAAGUCAUCAGAGUUGUGCCCCACGUCGUGUACCUGGCACACCUCUUACACCUGAACUGUCCCCGGGAUCCUGGGAAACUGCCAGCACAUUGCUCUUGAUGUGACUUCAGGAUUUUCAGGCCCCCUUAUCUUGGGUAUAUGUGCUAAGGCAACAUCUCAAUGGCUGAUGACUGAGCCACACCUGCUGGACUUUGAGGACUUUUCCUUCAACUGUGUUAUCACCUUUAUUAAAGUUCUGCUGCCCCUUAAGUUCAUCUCUUUUUCACAAAAAGGUAACAAACAAACAAAAACAAAUAAAUAAACAACCUCACAAGGCAGCUUCUUAUUGGGCACUCUGUCCUGCACAGAUUACUUUCUUUAAGUAGUCACAUACCUACAGUUAAGAAUGUGAUUUUCUGGCUCAGGUGCUUGAUGCAUUUAAGGAAGUACGUGUUUUUAACCAAGUUAUUGUGAGACAUCGUUUUGGGGGAAAAGAAACAAAAAAGGGAAGUGUGUUUCAUGGGAGUGAUGGUACUUCCCACUGAAAAGGGCCUCUGCUGUUGUGACACAGCUUUCUCUGUAUCUGAGAGUGCUUCAGUGUUCUAAAACCAGACAAGACAAAUUGAGAAGCCAUGGAAACAGUGACUAGGAUGAGAAAAUAUUUGCUUUCCUUGCUCUCUCUUCUGCCAUGUUUGCAUGAAUUCUUAGAAUAACUGAAAAGAAACUUCUAAAAAAUUUCAUUGUGAUUCCAAGAUUCUCCACAACUUAAGUAUAUUCUUUAAUGUAACCAUAGGGAAUACAGAUAUCAGGGCAAUAUGUGAAGAUUAACCUCAAUACAUUGAAAUGCUGCACAAUCUAAUAGUUAUAAAUUCUAAGAGUAAAUAGUUUAGUGCUGUGGACUAACUGAAGGUAGUUAAUUGCAAGUUGUACGCUUUACUGUAGGGAUGUCGCACGAUCUUUUAAUUUUACAGAAGAUGUAUUAACACCAGAUUUCUGAAGUUAAAGAGAAAUGUUUCCUAAAUAGAAUUAUUUGCCUGCAGUCUAUGAUGCAAUUAUGCCUAGCUGCAAUAUUUUAAUUAUGAUUUCCAUUUGUAAUCAAGUAUUACAAAAGCAUGAGAGAGGGACUAAGAUCUCAUUACAUAUAAAAAAAACAAUCUGUCUGAACCAUAUACCAGGAAAUGGAAUUAGAAACCUAUCAGUCUAUUACAAAGAUACGAGGGGAAGACACCAGAGAACUGUGAAGAUUUGGACCAACUGGCAACAUUAUGAUCCCCAAACAAGCUGUGAGAUGCAGAAAUGUGAAGCACUGUAAACAGUUCAAGAAAUCAAUUUGUGGGAGUUCAAAGUUAUAGUGAAGUUUGACACAGAAUGAAAAACUUUAUACAUACCUGCUCUCCAGAACUAGUUUCUUGGGAACUCGUGUCACAUAGUGGUUAGUGGUUUUGUGACUUUGAGAAAGUGUCUUGUCAGUUCAACCAGAUGAUAAACUAUAUUUUGUGAGAUGCUAAGCACAGGCCAAAGAGAAUAGGCAGACAGACAGACAACUGCAACUCCCAAAAGGAAAAGGAGCAGCUCAGGUGAGCCCAGGUUAGUCAACCUUAUCUGAUAUCAAAUGUCUCAAUGUAGUUUGUUUAAAUAACAUAUUUCAGCAUAGUAAGUGUACAACUAAACCCAAAAUGCUUCAUUUAAAUAUUUGUCAAAAUGUAUUUAAAAUACCUCAUAAUCCUUGCAGAAAAUGACUUUGUUGCAGAAAUCCCAUUAAAUUCCACGUUUGUGC